UUCAUAGGUGGCGAACGUUAUCCGGAUUUAUUGGGCGUAAAGGAUGCGUAGACGGUAAAACAAGUUAUUGGUCAAAGUCAAGCUCAACUUAACUGAAGCCAGUAAUACUAUUUUGCUAGAGGAUGAAAGAGGUUGAAUGGAAGUCUACGAGGAAGGGUGAAAUCUCGUUGAUCCGUAGAGUACCACCAAAAAAGGCGAAAGCAAUUAACUAUUUCAUUUCUGACGUUGGAGGCAUGAAAGCGUGGGGAGCAAACCGG
rnacentral:rRNA from 1 species